AGACGGAGGGGGCUAGCGUUGUUCGGAAUUACUGGGCGUAAAGCGCGCGUAGGCGGUCCGUUUAGUUAGGCGUGAAAGCCCUGGGCUCAACCCGGGAACUGCGUUUAAAACUGGCGGACUAGAGUCCGGGAGAGGGUGGCGGAAUUCCCAGUGUAGAGGUGAAAUUCGUAGAUAUUGGGAAGAACACCAGUGGCGAAGGCGGCCACCUGGCCCGGUACUGACGCUGAGGUGCGAAAGCGUGGGGAGCAAACAGGAUUAGAAACCCCAGUAGUCC
rnacentral:rRNA from 1 species